rnacentral:tRNA from 3 species
GGCCGCGUAGCUCAGCUGGACAGAGCGCCGCUUUCCUAAAGCGGGCGUCGGGGGUUCGAGUCCCUCCGUGGCCACCA